UUAACCUACGGGGGGCAGCAGUGAGGAAUAUUGGUCAAUGGGCGCGAGCCUGAACCAGCCAAGUCGCGUGAGGGAAGACGGUCCUAUGGAUUGUAAACUUCUUUUAUAAAGGAAUAAAACGAGGCACGUGUGCCUUUUUGCAUGUACUUUAUGAAUAAGGAUCGGCUAACUCCGUGCCAGCAGCCGCGGUAAUACGGAGGAUCCGAGCGUUAUCCGGAUUUAUUGGGUUUAAAGGGAGCGUAGAUGGGUUGUUAAGUCAGUUGUGAAAGUUUGCGGCUCAACCGUAAAAUUGCAAUU
rnacentral:rRNA from 1 species